rnacentral:rRNA from 1 species
UACGUAGGGGGCGAGCGUUGUCCGGAUUUAUUGGGCGUAAAGAGCGUGUAGGCGGCCAGGUAGGUCUGCUGUGAAAACUCGAGGCUCAACCUCGAGACGUCGGCGGAAACCAUCUGGCUAGAGUCCGGAAGAGGAGAGUGGAAUUCCUGGUGUAGCGGUGGAAUGCGCAGAUAUCAGGAAGAACACCGACGGCGAAGGCAGCUCGCUGGGACGGUACUGACGCUGAGGCGCGAAAGCGUGGGGAGCGAACAGG